rnacentral:rRNA from 2 species
UGUCGUGAUUAUUGGGCGUAAAGCGAGCGCAGGCGGUUUUGUAAGUCUGCUGUGAAAGCCCUCAGCUCAACUGAGGAAGUGCAGUGGAAACUACAAAACUUGAGUACAGAAGAGGAAAGUGGAACUCCAUGUGUAGCGGUGAAAUGCGUAGAUAUAUGGAAGAACACCAGUGGCGAAGGCGGCCUUCUGGUCUGUUACUGACGCUGAGGCUCAAAGACGUGGGUAACGAACAGGAUUAGAUACCCUGGUAGUCCAUGCCGCAAACGAUGAAUACUAGGUGUUGGAGGGUUUCCGCCCUUCAGUGCCGCAGCUAACGCAUUAAGUAUUCCGCCAGGGGAGUACGACCGCAAGGUUGAAACUCAAAGGAAUUGACGGGGGCCCGCACAAGCGGUGGAGCAUGUGGUUUAAUUCGAUGCUACGCGAAGAACCUUACCAGCUCUUGACAUCUUCUGCCAACCCAAGAGAUUGGGCGUUCCCUUCGGGGACAGAAUGACAGGUGGUGCAUGGUUGUCGUCAGCUCGUGUCGUGAGAUGUUGGGUUAAGUCCCGCAACGAGCGCAACCCUUAUUAUUAGUUGCCAGCAUUUAGUUGGGCACUCUAGUGAGACUGCCGGUGAUAAACCGGAGGAAGGUGGGGACGACGUCAAAUCAUCAUGCCCCUUAUGAGCUGGGCUACACACGUGCUACAAUGGAUGGUACAACGAGUCGCGAAACCGCGAGGUCAAGCUAAUCUCUUAAAGCCAUUCUCAGUUCGGAUUGCAGGCUGCAACUCGCCUGCAUGAAGUUGGAAUCACUAGUAAUCGUGGAUCAGCAUGCCACGGUGAAUACGUUCCCGGGCCUUGUACACACCGCCCGUCACACCAUGAGAGUUUGUAUCACCCAAAGACGAUGGGGUAACCUUUUAGGAGCUAGUCGUCUAAGGUGGGACAGAUGAUUAGGUGAAGUCGUACUAGGUAGCCGUAA